rnacentral:rRNA from 1 species
GGGUAUAGACCCGAAACCCGGUGAUCUAGCCAUGGGCAGGUUGAAGGUUGGGUAACACUAACUGGAGGACCGAACCGACUAAUGUUGAAAAAUUAGCGGAUGACUUGUGGCUGGGGGUGAAAGGCCAAUCAAACCGGGAGAUAGCUGGUUCUCCCCGAAAGCUAUUUAGGUAGCGCCUCGUGAAUUCAUCUCCGGGGGUAGAGCACUGUUUCGGCAAGGGGGUCAUCCCGACUUACCAACCCGAUGCAAACUGCGAAUACCGGAGAAUGUUAUCACGGGAGACACACGGCGGGUGCUAACGUCCGUCGUGAAGAGGGAAACAACCCAGACCGCCAGCUAAGGUCCCAAAGUCAUGGUUAAGUGGGAAACGAUGUGGGAAGGCCCAGACAGCCAGGAUGUUGGCUUAGAAGCAGCCAUCAUUUAAAGAAAGCGUAAUAGCUCACUGGUCGAGUCGGCCUGCGCGGAAGAUGUAACGGGGCUAAACCAUGCACCGAAGCUGCGGCAGCGACACUAUGUGUUGUUGGGUAGGGGAGCGUUCUGUAAGCCUGUGAAGGUGUACUGUGAGGUAUGCUGGAGGUAUCAGAAGUGCGAAUGCUGACAUAAGUAACGAUAAAGCGGGUGAAAAGCCCGCUCGCCGGAAGACCAAGGGUUCCUGUCCAACGUUAAUCGGGGCAGGGUGAGUCGACCCCUAAGGCGAGGCCGAAAGGCGUAGUCGAUGGGAAACAGGUUAAUAUUCCUGUACUUGGUGUUACUGCGAAGGGGGGACGGAGAAGGCUAUGUUGGCCGGGCGACGGUUGUCCCGGUUUAAGCGUGUAGGCUGGUUUUCCAGGCAAAUCCGGAAAAUCAAGGCUGAGGCGUGAUGACGAGGCACUACGGUGCUGAAGCAACAAAUGCCCUGCUUCCAGGAAAAGCCUCUAAGCAUCAGGUAACAUCAAAUCGUACCCCAAACCGACACAGGUGGUCAGGUAGAGAAUACCAAGGCGCUUGAGAGAACUCGGGUGAAGGAACUAGGCAAAAUGGUGCCGUAACUUCGGGAGAAGG